GCCCCCUGAAUUGUAGUCUAGGAAGGCGCCAUCGGCCAAGCCCGUCGCUCAAAUCCCUUGGAACAGGGUAUCGGAGAAGGUGAGAAUCCUGUGCCGUGGCGGAGCUUGGCCGCACGAUGCGCUCUUGUCGAGUCGGGCUGCUUGGGAUUGCAGCUUGAAGUGGGUGGUAAAUUCCAUCUAAAGCUAAAUAUUGGCGGGAGACCGAUAGCGAACAAGUACCGUGAGGGAAAGAUGCAAAGAGCUUUGAAAAGAGAGUUAAAGAGUGCUUGAAAUUGGCAGGAGGAAACCCGGUUGCGCGUGGCAUUUGGCGUGGUCGACUCAGCCGCGCGCGGAGAUCUGUAGGGGACCUAACGGCCUCGUGGUCAGCGCGCGCGGUGCACUUCGGCCGCGUCGGUCAGCCGCGUUUCUGUGCGGCCCAGACGGCCGCGGGCAGGGCUUCGGCGCAGCCUGCGGUUUGGGGGUCGCGCGGGAUCCCGGCUGAUGCGCACGGGCGCAACCGACCCGUCUAGAAACACGGACCAAGGAGUCUGACGCGUGUGCGAGUACUAGAGUGGCAAGCUCGAGUGCGCAAUGAAAGUGAAGGGCGUGCCCCGUCAACCGAUCUUGAUCUUCUGUGAAGGGUUUGAGUGGAGCACAUCUGUCGGGACCCGAAAGAUGGUGAACUAUGCCUGAGGAGGGUGAAGCCAGAGGAAACUCUGGUGGAGGCUCGUAGCGAUACUGACGUGCAAAUCGUUCGUCGAACUUGGGUAUAGGGGCGAAAGACUAAUCGAACCAUCUAGUAGCUGGUUCCCUCCGAAGUUUCCCUCAGGAUAGCUUGAACGCCGACGGUUUUG
rnacentral:rRNA from 1 species